GGAAAGAUUGAGAGUUUCAGCCCCUGGAUGAGAGGAGUUCCCUGGAAUGAAAGCACAGAUGUAAUAAGAUCUAACCAGCUCCUCCGCUGAGUUUGUGAGAGCCAGUUACAGUACUUGCCAGGGUGAUCCCACUACAGAGGGCUGGGCAUUCAGAAAUGGAUCCAGAAGAGAACAAGCUUUGGGCUAUGCUUUGAAGGAAGAGAAGGAAGGAAACAGAAGUGAAUUCAACAGAUCAAAAACAAAUGGAGGUCAGCUACCCACCAAGAGGUAUAGUGCCAUGGCCAUUUUGGGUGGCCGGAUUUGAGCAUCAUGAAAUGGUGUCACUGAUUUAUACUUACAGAUUUCCCCCCUGACCAAAUGUAUGUAUCUGUUUAUUUACUGGCUGCCCCAUGGCAUAAAUUCUCUGGGCAGCUUAUGAAAUGCUGGUGGUGGGAGAUUGUAAAAAAGGCAGGGCUUCUUAGGAGGAUAGGCAGGGUUUAAGAAGAAGAAUUAUUUCAGAAGGUGUGGCUUACUGGAAAUUUCACUUUGCCACCCUUUCCAAAAUAAAUGGGAAUGCCACUACCCAUUGAUAUCAGGACAUGCACUUUCGCUGUAUUUCCCCCCAGCACUUCCUAAAACUGUUUUUGUUUAGGCAAGACUCAUCCCCAGACAUGCAAUUUUGUUGUGCAUAUUUUGUGCUAAGAACUGUGCAGUCACGGGGGUGGGUACAAUUCUUGUUUGUGUAAACAGCAGUUUAUUUUUUGUUUGUCUAUGUAUUUCUAUGUUUUUUAUUUUGCUUUUUUUUUGCUUUUUGUAUUUAUAAAACUCAAUAAAAAAAGAAUUGCUGAUUUUUCGUACGCUUUGAUACAUUUCAUCUCUGUUUGUUUUUAUAAAGUUGCAGGUUACUGGCAUUUUCAAAUAAAUAUUUUAUAUUUUAUGUAAACCACUUAGAAGUGGAGGACUUGAAUCUCCAGGUGGGCACUAUAGAUAAGGCACACUUGCCCACCUGCCAGCAAAUCACAGCAUAGAUACAGUACUCUGCAAGGUCUGCCCUCCUCCCCUCUCCCAAUUAACCUCCAUCUCCAGGACACACUCCCGUGACAUCUCCAAGGGCUGCCCCUCUGUUUCAUGUUUGGCUCUUGAGAUCUCAGGGUCUUGGAUGAUCUUGAUCUGAAAACCCUGAACAGCAGAUCUCUGAAUUUCAAAAUCAGGAGUGAAGUUUUGCAUGACCCCAAAACAAAGCAGCAUCACCUGCUAAUGUCUCCAGGUCACGCAAGGUCCAGAACCAUGACAGCCAUCCUAACCACACACACACACACACACACCCCGUGGAUUGCUUGGAAAUUUCUGGGGAUCUUAGUCGAACUUUAGAACUUUCUUCUUCUUUUUUUGAUAACUACAGUGGUACCUCGGGUUGAGUACUUAAUUCGUUGCGGAGGUCCGUACUUAACCUGAAACUGUUCUUAACCUGAAGCACCACUUUAGCUAAUGGGGCCUCCUGCUGCUGCCGCGCCUCCGCUUCGCAAUUUCUGUUCUAAUCCUGAAGCAAAGUUCUUAACCUGAAGCACUAUUUCUGGGUUAGCGGAGUCUGUAACCUGAAGCGUAUGUAACCUGAAGCGUAUGUAACCCGAGGUACCACUGUAUAUAGUCUUCCCCUUAACUGAUAAUUUGUUUGGGGGAAAGACUGCACAAGCAAGCUAUUAUGAAAAUAAUAUCUAGGCCUAUGUAGACAAGUCUAUCCAGACAUGAAGUUGGCAGGUUUGCAAUCUAAUUUGAUGCAGGUUUAGGCUGUGAAUUAGGAGGUCUAGCCAACUUCUGAAAAGCUCAAAUUGUGAGAUUUAGGUCAACCUCACAAACAAUUCUUUUAAAAACAAGAAACCCGCAAGCACGUAUGAUUGCUAUUUUUAGUCGAAAAGAGGGAGGGAAAAAGAAGAACUAAAUUUGCCCAGAUUUCCUGCCUCCUUGCCUAGUGGUGAUUCUUCCCAUGCAACGUGAGGUCUCCAAGUGAUAAGAUACCCAUUUGAUUUCAGUUUAUCUUGCCGCCUGCAGGUUUCAUGGGUGCCAGAUACGUACUGGCGACAACAUUCGUGAUCUUCAUGCCGCCAUGCUUUUAAGACAGGAUCAGUAGAUUUAGAUCUUGGUGAGUUUGCAACAUUUGCAAAAAAAAAUUACUCUGCAAAUGCUUGCUUCAGCUGUCAGAUUUCAAUACUCGGAGAUUCUAGGCAAAUCUGAUCUGUGUUUUGCAAUUUUAUCUCAAUGUGCAAAUGAACUUGAGACAGGAAAGAGUGACAUUUUGCACCUUUGAAGGUGACUCGGAAACUUAAACUAAUGGAGAAAGCGGUUGCUAGACUGGUGGCUGGGAGCAGCCGCUGGUCCUGAAAGAUCUACAUCAGCCCCCAGUAUGUUUCCAAACACAAUUCAAAGAGCUGGUGUUGACUUUUAAGGCCCUAAAUGGCUUCGGCCCUGUAUACCUGAAGGAGCAUCUCAUACCUUCCAACAUUUCUCCGAUGAAAAUAGUGACGUCCCAUUCCAUAAUGAUAAUUUUACUGUUUAUACCCCACACAUCUUACACCAACCACUCUGGGCAGCUUCCAACAUAUAUAAAAACAUAAUAAAACAUUUGUCAGAGCUGGCUCCAGGUCCCAGCUCACAGAGGACCAACGCUAGCCGGCAGUAAUGUGCAAAAGUCUUUAUUGAAGUACAGUUUCCAUUUUCAAGCCGGAGCGCCCCAGCUCUACGUCUAGGGGUUAGAUCGGCGAAGCUCCAUCUGAGUCUCCGCCCCUGUACACCAGUUUAAGAUUCUAGCCUUACUCCACCUCUUACGUCUCUCCUUUCUCCUCUGGGUCCUGCUACCCCCCGGGGUCCCUUCCUUCCUGGAUUCUUCUGACGCUGACCCUCCUGACUCCUCCCCCUCUUUUCGGCGGGCUUUGGGACCUGGCUCCCUAUCCGGGCUGCCAACUGCGCCGCCCUCCUGUACAUUUGAACUUGGCGCGCGCGCCCAGCCUUCAACCUUCCUCUCGACCGUUUCCUCGCUCCCCGAUGGAGGCGUGGCCAAUCCUGACUCAUGUCCUCCCACUGGCAGUGCGCCGCCUGAUCCCGAUGCCUGGGACUCCUCCCCCCCUACUGCACUCUGGUGUGGACGCUGGUCCUGAUUUCCAACUGCUGCUCUCUGAGUCCCCUCUGGCCCCUUCUUCCUGGGGUGUCCCCUCGGCACCCCCUUGCUCUGACCAAGGGAGCCCCUUUCUGUGAAUCUUCCGAUUCGCUGGAAAGACUCAGAGACCUCGGACUGCUGUCAUCGCUAACAUUUCCUUCGGACUCCUCCCCGUCGCUCUCUAUUUCCUCCCUUUCCUGUGCCUCUGCUCCUGAACCCCUGACAUCCAUCCCCCCCUCGAAGCCCCCCCAUCCCCCCACCCCACCUUCAGGUGUGGGUACUGGGUGCUCCGUCGUUGUGGGGGUGAGUGCCGGAUACAGUUCGUCCCCCGUGGCGUGCAUCCAGCCGGAUAAGUCCGGCUCGUCCUCCGUGCUCUCGCCGACCUCAAUUUCCUCUGCUUCCAUCUCUUUGCCGCCGUGCUCGAGCCCAAGGUCCUCCCCCAACACGUCCAUGUCCGUCUCUCCCCGGUCUCCUCCGGGGACGUUGCCUGCCAAGGACCCCCGAACCACUUCCUGCGCCACUGCUCCUCUGGUUGAUUGUCCCACCAAUAGGAACGGUCUGAGGCAGACCCGAGGGUGAUCCCUCCGGGGAACGUGUUUCUAGUGCCGGUUCCUCGUCCGAGGUGAACCCCUGGAAUGUGCUAGCUGAAAAUGUGGGUGUGAAAAGCCAGUCGUCGAAAUACUCGGCUGGCAUGGGCCUGUGUGGGAAAAGGGCAUGGAACUCGUCCUUAAGCCAAGAUUCCUCCAGAGCAUAAUCUGGCACCCAACUGUUGGCGCUAGCCGAGGUACCUUCCUUGGCGAGGAGGUAUUCCACUCCCUCCUCCCCCAUCUCGAGUCUAAAAUCUCUGUGACUUCGUUGACGGGUUCCCGCCUUGGCGACCCCCUUGUGGGCGUUUCCCUGAACGGGUCUGGUGCCGUUCCUGGCUCCUGAAAUCUAUGAGGUGCUUUGUAGGGCGUGAGCACUGAUCUAUGGAAAACUGGGUGCAUUCUGGAUCCCUCCGGCAGUGUCAACCGGAAGGCCACUGGAUUGACCUGUGCCUCGACUUGGUAGGGUCCUAGCUGCUUAUGCCCUAGCUUCUUCUUCGCUAACGAUCUGGCCGGCACUGCCUGGGCUGCUAACCAAACCCAGUCUCCCACCUGUAUGUCUUCCCCAACCCUUCUGUGCUUGUCAGCCUGCAGUUUGUAUGCGUGCUUUGCUAGUUCUAACUGCCUCCGAAGCUGUUCGUGAACCUCCUGCAACUCUGAUGCUAAGGCUUCCGCUGCCUGUGGCUCCCCCUCCCCCUCUCUCGCUAAUCCCGGGAAGGUUCUGGGAUGCCUCCCGUUGUUGGCGAAGAACGGUGUCACCCCCGUGGACACGUGCUUCGUGUUGUUGUAGGCGAACUCAGCGAGCGGCAGGUAGUCCACCCAUGUUGCCGGCUGCUGAUUUGCGUAGCAUCGCAGGUACUGCUGCAUGAUGGCGUUGACUCGCUCCGCUUGUCCGUUCGUCUGCGGGUGUCUCGCCGACGCUAGGUUGAUCUUGACGUUCAGGAAACCCAUCAGCUUCUGCCAGAAGUUCGAGAUGAACUGUCGCCCCGGUCGGACAGGAUAGACCGUGGCAGACCGUGAACCCUGAACACGUGGUCUAUGAACAGUUUGGCGGUCUGUUCCGCCGUGGCCACCUUCGCGCACGGAAUGAAGUGGGCCAUUUUGGUGAACAUGUCCACCACCACUAGCACUGCCGUCUUGCCCCUCGAGCUGGGUAGAUCCGUGACAAAGUCCAGGGCCACCCUCUCCCACGGUUCGAUCGGUGUCUGCAGCGGUUCGAGCAGUCCCGCCGGCGGUUUGUGCACUGACUUGGCCCUUUGGCAGGUGUCACACCUCGAGACGUAAUCCGCGACUUCCCCCCGCAUCUUGGGCCACCAAAAAUCUCUGGCUACUAAUUCUACCGUCUUCUCUUUGCCAAAGUGCCCGGCGGUGGGUGCGUCGUGCAACUGCUGCAGUACUUUCGCGCGGAGGUCGUCUCCCGGUACGUAGAGGGCCCCUCUGCGGAUGAGCAAUCCGUCGCGUAUCUGGAACUCGUCGUCCUCCGCCGUGCCCCUUUGCACCUCUGCCAUCUUUGCUUGCGCGAAGGGGUCCUCCUGCAGUGCUCGACGUACAGCAUCCAGGUCCACGGUUGCUGAAGCGCACGCCCACGCUUUCGGUGCGAAAAUGUGCUUGGCCGCUGCUGGUGCCGCCUCCUCGAGGUAUUGCGGCUUUCUGGACAGUGCAUCCGCCAUGAUGUUGUUGUCGCCUGGGAUGUACUCUAUCCUGAAGUCGAAAUCCGCAAAGAACUCCGCCCAUCGUAUGUGCCUCUGGUUCAGGAACCUUGCCGUGCGCCAGUACUCCAGGUUUUUAUGGUCCGUGCGGACCUGCACUGUGUGUUUGGCUCCAAUGAGGAAGUGCCGCCACGCCUUGAAUGCUGCAUGAAUGGCCAGCAACUCCCUGUCCCAGAUGGUGUAGUUCUGCUCUGACUUGCUGAGCUUCCUGGAGUAGAAGGCACACGGUCUCCAGUCCCCAUGCGGGUCUUGCUGCAACAGUACUGCUCCCACGGCUCUGUCUGAGGCGUCCGUUUCAACCCUCAUCGGUCUGCUGGGAUUCACAUGCAGUAGCUGCUCUUCGGACGAGAAGAGACGCUUGAGUUUCUGAAAGGACUGUUCCGCUUGCUCCGUCCAGAUGAACUUCUUCUUCUUGGAGCUGAGUGUGUCGGUAAUGGCUGCCGUCUGCAUCGCGAACCCCUUGAUGAACUUGCGGUAAAAGUUGGCGAAACCGACAAACCGUUGGACCUCCUUCCGAUUGCGCGGGCUCUUCCAGUCCAACACUGAGCGAACCUUGGCGCUGUCCAUGGCGAGCCCCUUGUCCGACAACUUGUAGCCCAGGAAAUCUACUUCCUUCAUGUCGAACUGGCACUUUUCCAGCUUGGCGUACAGCCUGUGCUCCUGCAGUCUCUGCAGAACUUCCUUGACGUCUCCCUCGUGGGCCUCCUCUGAUUCUGAAAAUAUCAGGAUGUCGUCCAGGAAGCAGACGCAUUUCUUGUAGAGGAGACCCGCCAAUACGUGAUGCAUGAAGGCUUGAAAACAGUGGGAGCCAUUUUGUAAUCCAAAGGGCAUAACUCUGUAUUCAUAGGUGCCCAGGGGCGUGAACAUGGCAGUCUUCCAUUCGUCGCCCUCCCGUAUGCGAAUCAGGUUGUACGCCCCUCGCAGAUCCAACUUUGUGAAAACGCGUCCUUUCCUCACCGUUGCGAGCAGGUCAUCUAUCUUGGGCAUGGGAAAGGCUGUGGGCUUGGUUUUUGAGUUCAAAAUUCUAUAGUCCACCACAAGCCUUUUUUGGGGCGUGUCCUUCUUCUUCACAAAGAAUACAGGACUGCCCCCCACUGCCUUCGACUCCCGGAUGAAACCGCGCUUCAAGUUGAGGUCUAUGAACUCCCUGAGUUCCUGCAGCUCGUCUUCGGACAUGGAAUACAGUUUCCCGGUUGGCAGCGUCGCCCCUGGCAGGAGGUCAAUCUUGCAGUCAUAAGACCUGUGGGGAGGUAGCUUGUCCGCUUCCUUCUCGCAGAAAACCUCCAAAAACGCUGCGUACUUGAGUGGCACUGCUUGCAGCGUGCCUAAUUGUAGCUGCGGGUCAUCCUCUUCCCCUUCCGGGCUAGGCAGAAUGCAAUGUUCCGCACAGUAUGAGGAGCCGAAGGUCAGUUGUCGCUGGUACCACGCCAAUGCUGGGCUGUGCCUGUGCAGCCAACUCAUGCCUAAUACUAUAGGCGUGUCCGACAGUUGGGUGACAUUGAAGCUGAUGACUUCUCGGUGAUUCCCAAUUUGCAUUAGCAUCGGAGGCGUUUGCUGCACCACCUGCCCCCAGCAAUUCCCUGCCAUCCACCGUGACAACUUUCAGAGGCAGCGUGGCUGGCAGGAGUGCUAUGUUGUGCUCUUGAAGGAAAUCCAGUCCUAUGAAGUCUGCGUUACUACCAGAGUCAAUGGUAAUCGGCACUUCCAUAGUGAGUCCAUUGGGUAGUUGGAGCGAUGCUGUGAGCUGCACCACUGGUUUGGGCGGGAGGGGUCUGUGGGCUGCAAAAUCUCUGGGGACGGCUUCAUUGACUUGUCUGGUUGGGCCCCAGUGCCUCUUCCUCCAACCAGACUCUGUCGUUUCCCUGCUGUGUUUCUCUCUGCUGAGUUGCUUCUGUUACUGUUGCUGAGGCUGCAGUGUGCUUGUGGAGCCUCUGGGGACACUCUUUCGCCAUGUGCUGAGCACUGUCGCAGAUGUAGCACUUCCUGUUCCCUCUAGGAGGCUUCGCUUUGACUGCUCCCGGUGUUAAGGCUCUGGUUGUUGACUGAGCCCUGGCGCCUCCAAUCUCCAUCGGUUGCUCUCCCCAUCCUUGCGGAGGUGGGGAUUGCACACGCGCUGUAUCCUUGGGAAAGAGGGGAGGUGCUCUCACUGGCGUACGUCCCCAACGUCCUUCUUCUCUGUUCCAUGGACGUUCUUCCAGACGCACCCCAAUUUGCAGCGCCCGCCGGACAACCUCCUGAGUGCUCUUUGGUCUCUCCCCCCUUGCAAUCUCAUCUUUCACAUUUGCAUUCAAGCCUUCCCAAAAAGGUCUCUGACUGGGGCAGAAUCCUUCUCCCAUCCCAGCGCGUGGACUAAUGCAAAAAGCGGGAAUGGUACUGCCUUACACUGGCUCUGCCUUGUUUGAGCCCAUGUAUGUCUUUUCUGGCGAUAUCAAUGUCUAUAUUUGAUAAAAAACACGAAUCCAUCGCUUUAAUGAAUGCAUCCGCAUUUUGGAGCGCCGGAUCCUUAUCUCUCCACAGAUUGCGCAGCCACGCUUUAGCUUCCCCAUGCAAAUGGGACAAGAUAAACCCCACCUUCUCUUGCUCAUCUCUAAAGUCUUUAUCCAGCAGUUCCAGCGCAAACAGCACGUCUGCUCGGAAGUUAGGGUACUGCUGCAAAUUCCCAUCGAAAUGAGAUACCAGGCUGCCUCCUCUUUUCCCCAGCCCAAUCCCCUCUGAUUUGGGUCCCGGUUGCCCCUGCUUAGCAAGCACUUCCAACCUGGCUUGGAGAUCCCUGCAGGCGGCAGCCGCUUCCUCUUCCCUUUUCCUGGAUGCGAGUACCUCCGCGUUGAGUUGUGUCACUGCAUUUUGCAGGGCUGUUAGUUGCUGUUCUGUAGUCAUCUUGCCUGACUUUUGUGAGCUCGCAAAGCACCAAUCUUCUUCCCUCGCUGCGUCCACUCACGUUACGAGGUUUUUGGUGCAAAACUUUAUGAGAUGGAGCUUACUGUCAGAGCUGGCUCCAGGUCCCAGCUCACAGAGGACCAACGCUAGCCGGCAGUAAUGUGCAAAAGUCUUUAUUGAAGUACAGUUUCCAUUUUCAAGCCGGAGCGCCCCAGCUCUACGUCUAGGGGUUAGAUCGGCGAAGCUCCAUCUGAGUCUCCGCCCCCUGUACACCAGUUUAAGAUUCUAGCCUUACUCCACCUCUUACGUCUCUCCUUUCUCCUCUGGGUCCUGCUACCCCCCAGGGUCCCUUCCUUCCUGGAUUCUUCUGACGCUGACCCUCCUGACUCCUCCCCCUCUUUUCGGCGGGCUUUGGGACCUGGCUCCCUAUCCGGGCUGCCAACUGCGCCGCCCUCCUGUACAUUUGAACUUGGCGCGCGCGCCCAGCCUUCAACCUUCCUCUCGACCGUUUCCUCGCUCCCCGAUGGAGGCGUGGCCAAUCCUGACUCAUGUCCUCCCACUGGCAGUGCGCCGCCUGAUCCCGAUGCCUGGGACUCCUCCCCCCUACUGCACUCUGGUGUGGACGCUGGUCCUGAUUUCCAACUGCUGCUCUCUGAGUCCCCUCUGGCCCCUUCUUCCUGGGGUGUCCCCCUCGGCACCCCCUUGCUCUGACCAAGGGAGCCCCUUUCUGUGAAUCUUCCGAUUCGCUGGAAAGACUCAGAGACCUCGGACCGCUGUCAUCGCUAACAUUUCCUUCGGACUCCUCCCCCUCGCUCUCUAUUUCCUCCCUUUCCUGUGCCUCUGCUCCUGAACCCCUGACAACAUUAAACAUUUUUUAAAACUUCCCUAUAAAGGAUUUCCUUCAGACGGCCCAGUGGUCGGAAAACUCCAUACCCUUCAACAUUUCUCCAAUGAAAAUAGGGACAUCCUAAGGAAAAGUGGGACAUUCUGGGAUCAAAUCAGUAACUGGGACGGCUUCUCUAAAUCAGGGACAUCCCUGGAAAAUGGAGGCAGUUGCAGGGUCUGGCAUCGCUACACACACCGUUCAUCCCAGACAAUGAGGUCCAGCUCUGAGGGCCUUCUUGUGUUUGCCUCGCUGUGAAGUUAACUGAGGUUACAGGGAACCAGGCAGGGGGCCUUCUCGGUAGUGGCUCCCUCCCUGUGGAACGCCCUCCCAUCAGAUGCUAAGGAAAUAAACAACUAUCUGACUUUUAGAAGACAUUUGAAGGCAGCCCUGUAUAGGGAAGUUUUUUAAUGUGUGGUGUUUUACUGUGGUUUUAUAACUUGCUGGAAACAGCCCAGCAUAGGUGCCAAUUCCCUGGGGCCCUGGGUGCCUAAGCACCCAGAAAUUCCCCAUGAAGUGGCCGGGCACUCACAAGUUUCAGUGCUAGGGCCGUGCACGGUGCAUGGCACCCACAGCCCCAGGCACCCAUGGUCAUGGGGCCAAGUUGACACUCCUGUAGACCAGAGAGGCUGGGGCAAAUCAGUCAGAUGGGAGGGGGCAUAUAACGAAUUACUCCUGCUACUGAUAUGCAAAGUCUCCCUAAUGGAAAGAGUGUAUACCUGCUGAGAUAUAUGCAGACUGUACACUCACUGAAGGCUACGUGUGAAUAAAUGUACCAAUGUCCAGGUCAGCUAUUUGUGUAUACAGGGGCACUUGUUCAAUGUAACAUGUGAAUCACCUUUCCUAUGAUUCUUUAUAAGGCAGUUUUCUCUGUUUAAUCAGAUGUAGAAAAUAGAGCCUCUUAAAGGGUUGUUCCAGCUGAGAAGCCAGAAGAAAUUUCUUACUGGAAAGGUCUAUUUUGAGGAACUUUCCUCCAUCUGCAAAUUGUAAUUUAAGCCAAUAAUUUAAAAAUACGUAGGUGGACUCAAUGAAAAGUUGGCCACCGGAUUUAGCAGCCUGCGCUUCUCAGAUACAAUAGCAAAGUGUUGUUGAUAUAUUUUCCUGCUGUGGCCCUUGGAUGUUUUCACAGUUUCAUGACCAGCAGACAAUCAGGCAAAGUCUCUCCAGCGAUGGAGGAGCAACAACUGGAAAAUCUUCACCUGUUGAACUUCUUCUCAUAAUGCAAAAGUAAUCCUGGCAGC